AGUUGAAGAGGUUCAGGUUAAAUCCCGCUAAAUGGGAAAAGUACGCCACCUGCUGUUGUAAAUGUGUACCUGCACUGAAUGGUAGACGCAAAGGACUAUGGGUAAUCCUGAACGCAACGGAGGAUUUACUGAAAGACAGAGCAUGCGCAGUUGUCCGCAAGAUGACCCAUUCUUCUAUGUUGUCCUUUGUCAUAAAUGCAGAUGUGGAAUAAACCUGCUGUUACCA